rnacentral:rRNA from 1 species
UACGGGGGGGGCAAGCGUUGUUCGGAAUUACUGGGCGUAAAGGGCUCGUAGGCGGCCAACUAAGUCAGACGUGAAAUCCCUCGGCUUAACCGGGGAACUGCAUCUGAUACUGGAUGGCUUGAGAUUGGGAGAGGGAUGCGGAAUUCCAGGUGUAGCGGUGAAAUGCGUAGAUAUCGGGAGGAACACCAGUGGCGAAGGCGGGUCUCUGGGCAGUAACUGACGCUGAGGAGCGAAAGCGUGGGGAGCAAACAGG